rnacentral:tRNA from 1 species
GAGGGUAUAGCUCAGUGGUAGAGCACAUGCUUAGCAUUCACAAGGUCCUGGGUUCAAGCCCCAGUACCUCCA